GAUGAACGCUAGCUACAGGCUUAACACAUGCAAGUCGCGGGGCAGCAUGACAUCAGCUUGCUGAUGUUGAUGGCGACCGGCGCACGGGUGAGUAACGCGUAUCCAACCUGCCCUUUACUAUGGGACAGCCCGUCGAAAGGCGGAUUAAUACCGUAUGUUGUCAUGUUGAUGCAUAUUUUCAUGACCAAAGGCUUCGGCCGGUAAAGGAUGGGGAUGCGUCUGAUUAGCUUGCCGGCGGGGUAACGGCCCACCGGGGCGACGAUCAGUAGGGGUUCUGAGAGGAAGGUCCCCCACAUUGGGACUGAGACACGGCCCAG
rnacentral:rRNA from 1 species